GGGAGGGGUAGAAGAAAUGGUAGAAUGAAUGGAUGCUCGGAAGCAACAAGAAAUAAUAACAAAUAAAACUCACAAGACUUUUCACUUUUUUUUAUAUACUUCAAAUUUUUUUUGAAUUUUUUUUGAAUUUCCUCUUCUUCUUUUUUUUGAUUUUUUUUGUUCAAUUAAAAUAUGCUAAAAUACAAAGGGAAGAGAAAAUAAAAU
rnacentral:lncRNA from 1 species